GGAAGAAAAAGAUUACGACAUUCGAUUAAGGCUUUAGAAUGACAAACUUACCUCAGUCUCCCUCAGUCGGUGUCAGCAGUUCCUCAAGAGGUGGUAUGUCAUCAUCGUCUUCUAGUGAAGGAGCACCGGUCAAUAGGGAUCGCCAAAUGCAAUCUGCUCAACAGCUUGUGCUUGAUAUCUGCAACCCGAAUCUUCGUGAAAAUGCUCUUCUGGAACUUUCCAAGAUGAGGGAAAUUUUUGAGGAUUUGGCCCCGGUAUUAUGGCACUCUUUUGGUACCAUUGUUGUAUUUGUACAGGAGAUAAUUUCUGUCUACCCUGUUU
rnacentral:misc_RNA from 1 species